GAAAAAAAGAAAGAAAGACACACACCCCCAUCACCUCUGCUCCCUCCAUUCCCAUGGAGAUUAGAGCAUCCUGAGCUCUAAUCAAGACCAUCAAAGGCUGGGCACACACAGCUGGGGAGUCUGAAGAGCAGUCAGGACCUCUGUGUCUGCACCAAGAUCUGUGCCCAAGCCCCUGGUCCUUGGGGAGUGUAUAAGCUGACGCUGACUUCUCCAAAAGGAUCCCUAGAAAGAAGCUUCCCACACCUUGGUGUCUCCAAGCCUGGCAGAAAGGUCCUGGUUCUGGCAGUGUUGGAACAUUCAUCAGCCUGAGACUCCUGGGAACUGCUGAGUGAGAGGUGGGGCAGGAGAAGCAGGAUGGUGAGAAACAGCCUGCAGUUCAGGGGAUGGAGGGAAGGUGCCUUUAAAAAGAGGGCAGGAGAGUAGGAGUGGAGAAGAGCAGUGACUCAGGAAUCACAGGCAGAGCUGGGCACUGAAUGCAAGGCCUCUGCUGCUUCCCAUGGAGGGUGUCAGGAAGAGAAGAAUCCAGUAAAUGACACAAUAAAUGAUUGAGCUUUCCAUCUAAGUGGUAUUUUCUUUGACUUUAGGACACUGGUCAUGAAGUGAACCAGAAUUUUUUUUACCCCAAAUCUUGAGCAUGAGUGAUGCUACUGAAGGAGCUGCCCUGCUCUCUUGCUCAAUUCUUCACUUUUUUUUUUUUAGGGAGAAUGAGAUGUGAGAGAUAUUGUAGCAUAGCUCUACCAUGCAUGGAGCUUCCCAAGUGCCAUCCAUGAUGCUUCCAUGUUGUAGAGGGUUGGGUUUGCUAUCCAAGCUUCAUGUGUGAUGUUUUCAUUGACUUUCCUUAUUAACAGCAACAUUCAGCGUGUGUUCCAUUUUAAAAACCAAAAGUGAAAAUGGAAAAACAAGUUAAUUCUAGAAAAAGCAUCCUAGAGUGAUGGUUUGUUUUUGUCCUUUUUCUUUUUUUUUUUUUUUUUGUUCCUUCCUUUUCUUUCUUUUUCUUUCACUCUUCACCCACCUCUCCUCCUCUUUCUUCUUCUUCUUCUUUAAUUAAUGCCUGUAUGUUUGUUAUUCAGAGUAGUGCUUGGGCAAUGGCAUUAUAAAUGAGAGUGUUGGCUGGUGUAUUGCACCAAAGUAAAGGGUUCUGAGAGAGUUGGGAGAGAGUGACUUUCAGAUUCUAUUGCAUAAUGGUGGAGGAGGACCUACAUGAGAGGUUAGAAUGUCUUGCAGAAAACUGAGAAAUUUUACACAUGUACAAACAACUAUAUUUAUUGUUUACUGUAAACCAUUAAUUGAAAGAAGUAUUUAGAGAAUAGGAAUAAAAACUAGCAAGUAACAGAAAAAAAGGAUUUUGCUUCACUUGGUUUAGCAUUAUUGCCAUCAUUUACCUAUU